GCCAGUGGAAUAUUGGUCAAAAGUUGUUUGCCCUGACGAUUUUCCUUCGAUUUUCGGCGGACAUUCAAAUCCGAGGAAACUAUGACCUCCUCGAAGGUCUGGCCUUCGUUUUCUGCAACGUCAGAAAGAAAGAAUAAAUUUCUGCACUCCAGUCGCAUU